UACGAAGGGGGCUAGCGUUGCUCGGAAUUACUGGGCGUAAAGGGCGCGUAGGCGGACAGUUUAGUCAGAGGUGAAAGCCCAGGGCUUAACCCUGGAAUUGCCUUUAAGACUGCAUCGCUAGAAUCGUGGAGAGGUGAGUGGAAUUCCGAGUGUAGAGGUGAAAUUCGUAGAUAUUCGGAAGAACACCAGUGGCGAAGGCGACUCACUGGACACGUAUUGACGCUGAGGUGCGAAAGCGUGGGGAGCAAACAGG
rnacentral:rRNA from 1 species